rnacentral:rRNA from 1 species
UACGUAGGGUGCGAGCGUUGUCCGGAAUUAUUGGGCGUAAAGAGCUUGUAGGCGGUUUGUCGCGUCUGCUGUGAAAAUCCGGGGCUCAACCCCGGACUUGCAGUGGGUACGGGCAGACUAGAGUGUGGUAGGGGAGACUGGAAUUCCUGGUGUAGCGGUGAAAUGCGCAGAUAUCAGGAGGAACACCGAUGGCGAAGGCAGGGUCUCUGGGCCGAUACUGACGCUGAGGAGCGAAAGCAUGGGUAGCGAACAGG